rnacentral:rRNA from 1 species
AGAACCUGAAACCGUGUGCUUACAAGUAGUCAGAGCCCGUUAAUGGGUGAUGGCGUGCCUUUUGUAGAAUGAACCGGCGAGUUACGAUUUGAUGCAAGGUUAAGCAGUAAAUGUGGAGCCGUAGCGAAAGCGAGUCUGAAUAGGGCGUUUAGUAUUUGGUCGUAGACCCGAAACCAGGUGAUCUACCCUUGGUCAGGUUGAAGUUCAGGUAACACUGAAUGGAGGACCGAACCGACUUACGUUGAAAAGUGAGCGGAUGAACUGAGGGUAGCGGAGAAAUUCCAAUCGAACCUGGAGAUAGCUGGUUCUCUCCGAAAUAGCUUUAGGGCUAGCCUCAAGUGAUGAUUAUUGGAGGUAGAGCACUGUUUGGACGAGGGGCCCCUCUCGGGUUACCGAAUUCAGACAAACUCCGAAUGCCAAUUAAUUUAACUUGGGAGUCAGAACAUGGGUGAUAAGGUCCGUGUUCGAAAGGGAAACAGCCCAGACCACCAGCUAAGGUCCCAAAAUAUAUGUUAAGUGGAAAAGGAUGUGGCGUUGCCCAGACAACUAGGAUGUUGGCUUAGAAGCAGCCAUCAUUUAAAGAGUGCGUAAUAGCUCACUAGUCGAGUGACACUGCGCCGA